ensembl:misc_RNA Metazoa_SRP Metazoan signal recognition particle RNA
GCCCGGCGCGGUGGCGCAUGCCUGUAGUCCCAGCUACUCGGGAGGCUGAGGUGAGAGGAUCGCUUGAGCCCAGGAGUUCUGGGCUGUAGUGCGCUAUUCCGAUCGGAUGUCCGCACUAAGUUCGGCAUCAAUAUGGUGACCUCCCGGGAACGGGGGACCACCAGGUUGCCUAAGGCGGGGUGAACCGGCCCAGGUCUGAAACGGAGCAGGUCAAAACUCCCGUGCUGAUCAGUAGUGGGAUUGCACCUGUGAAUAGCCACUGCACUCCAGCCUGGGCUGGAGAACAAGAACGAGACCCCAUCUCUU